rfam:Anaerostipes hadrus draft genome.
GGACCACUAGCUCAGCAGGGAGAGCGGUCGGCUUAUAACCGAUGAACAGUCCAGGGUUCGAGUCCCUGGUGGUCCA